AAAUUGAAGAGUUUGAUCAUGGCUCAGAUUGAACGCUGGCGGCAGGCCUAACACAUGCAAGUCGAACGGUAACAGGAAGCAGCUUGCUGCUUUGCUGACGAGUGGCGGACGGGUGAGUAAUGUCUGGGAAACUGCCCGAUGGAGGGGGAUAACUACUGGAAACGGUAGCUAAUACCGCAUAACGUCGCAAGACCAAAGAGGGGGACCUUCGGGCCUCUUG
rnacentral:rRNA from 2 species